CAUCUCCUAUUUUAGGCAUCAGCCACCUUCAUAAGCCUCCACAUGAAGCAUCUCAUUGGAAGCGACAACAUCUCUCUCAAAUCAUCCCUCGCCCACUUGGUAGGACAACCGGUGGUGUGCAUUCAUCGAUGGGCAUCGUGUCACUCAUGAUAUUGGCCGACUGGCCUCGGUGAAGGUUGCUUCCAUCACGACAAACUUGUUAGCGGUUGCACUGACCAUUGUUUCCAUCAUGGUAGCAAUCACAUUGGUUUCGACGGCGAGCGCCACCAAGAAGUCCAUUGAUGCCAUGAACUCCUCUGUCCAAAGGGGCCUUGGAAAGAUGUCGUGGUCAAGGAGGAUGUCAAUAAGGCUGUUGGGGACGAGAAGAAAGUGGCCACAAUUACCACCGCCUACAGCCCGUUGAUGCAACCAGUGUCAUCACCCUCGCUCACAAGUUUGUCAUGAUGGAUAAAACCUUUCAACGGGCAGCUCGGCCAAUAGCAUGAGUGUCACCCCUUCCACGAAUGCACACCAUCACAAUUGCAACAAGGAUUAGCUUGGUAUAUGGGUGAAUAUUUCUCCGUGGAAAUGUAGAAAAUGGCAGAUCCUAUAUAAGUAAGUAGUUGAUGCACAAUACCUCUAUUCUUUUAAAACACACACAAUCAUAUAUAUCACCUCAUUAAUUACUUUAUUUUUUCUAUUAUUUAGUUGCAUGCUUCACUUUAGUAUUUUUUCUAUCCAUAGAAUCCAACCACAUCAAUAAGUAAUGCUUAUUCGUCACACCAUUAUCACCAUCAUAGUUAACUCUCACAAUUUAUACAUGUUGUUCCUAUCUAUCCAACUCAUCCACAUCAAUAAGUCAUGCACAUUUUUCACAUCAUCAACAUGCAACCACAACAUAUUUAGUUUUCAUAAUUUAUACAUUUUCCCUAUACAUGCAACUCAUCCACCAUAAUAAUAAGUCAUACAUGUUUGCCAUGUCAUCAACUUGUCAUCUCUCAUGCUUAAUCCUCAUAACUUAUCUACAUCAUUAUCCUACCAAUUUUAGCAUGUGUUACCACUACAAUGAGAGAGUUAACUUUUUUUUUUUUGCAGGAAAAGAGAGAGUUAUCUUCGAUUCUAGUAUACCCAAAUAGUUGCUUCUCACUACUUUUAUUUUUCUCAAUAUGCACAUGUGCCACCUUAUCACACAUGUCACCUCAUUAAUUACUAUUGUCUUCCUAUUUUUUUCGGUUGCAUAAUCCAGCUUACUAUCAGGGGCAGACCGAGAAGGAAAAUGAAUCGGUGUCCCUGUUUUAAAGAAGACACAUUUUCCAUCUAAUGAUAGGAUGUCACACACUACACUAUAUACAUGAAAAUUACCAAGGAAAAGAAAGAUAUCAGAUAGAUAAAAUGUAACCUGGAGAUACGGAAAUGCAAUUCGGCUCCCAAGAGCACGUGCUCCUGCCCAUGAAAAAUGAUUUUUGAAAUGUCAAAAAAAAUCGCAGCAAUUUUUU
rnacentral:lncRNA from 1 species